rnacentral:rRNA from 1 species
GUGGGGAAUAUUGGACAAUGGGCGCAAGCCUGAUCCAGCCAUGCCGCGUGAAUGAUGAAGGCCUUAGGGUUGUAAAGUUCUUUCGUUGGUGAAGAUAAUGACGGUAACCAAAGAAGAAGCCCCGGCUAACUUCGUGCCAGCAGCCGCGGUAAUACGAAGGGGGCUAGCGUUGUUCGGAAUCACUGGGCGUAAAGAGCACGUAGGCGGUAUAGCAAGUUAGGGGUGAAAUCCCAGGGCUUAACCCUGGAACUGCCUUUAAAACUGCUAUGCUGGAGUCUCGGAGGGGAUGGUGGAAUAUCUAGUGUAGAGGUGAAAUUCGUAGAUACUAGAUGGAACACCGGUGGCGAAGGCGGCCAUCUGGACGAGUACUGACGCUGAGGUGCGAAAGCGUGGGGAGCAAACAGGAUUAGAAACCCGUGUAGUCC